rnacentral:rRNA from 1 species
AGCUGGAUGGUGAGGUAACGGCUCACCAUGGCGAUGAUGUCUAGGGGUUCUGAGAGGAAGGCCCCCCACACUGGGACUGAGACACGGCCCAGACUCCUACGGGAGGCAGCAGUGAGGAAUAUUGGACAAUGGAUGGAAAUCUGAUCCAGCCAUGCCGCGUGCAGGAAGACGGCCCUAUGGGUUGUAAACUGCUUUUCUACGUGAGCAAUAAGGUCUACGAGUAGACUGAUGAGAGUAGCGUAGGAAUAAGCAUCGGCUAACUCCGUGCCAGCAGCCGCGGUAAUACGGAGGAUGCGAGCGUUAUCCGGAUUUAUUGGGUUUAAAGGGUGCGUAGGCGGCUUUUUAAGUCAGCGGUGAAAUUUUGCAGCUUAACUGUAACAGUGCCGUUGAUACUGAGGAGCUAGGAUUUGGUUGCUGUGGGUGGAAUGUGUGGUGUAGCGGUGAAAUGCUUAGAGAUCACACAGAAUAUCGAUUGCGAAGGCAGCUCACAAAGCCAAGAUUGACGCUGAGGCACGAAAGUGUGGGGAUCAAACAGGAUUAGAUACCCUGGUAGUCCACACUGUAAACGAUGAUAACUCGCUGUCGGCGAUACACAGUCGGUGGCCAAGCGAAAGCGAUAA